AUGUGUUUGUUCAUUUGCGGUCUAGCUCCCGUGCGGUCAGUGUCUGGGUACAGUGAGAGCUUCAAACAAAUGAGGCCUCGUUUCAUCCCUGCAGACUGAGUGCUAUAUGACCAUGGCAACCACAGCGCCACGGUGAAAUGCCCCAGUCAAUCAAUCAGUCAAUCAAUCAAUCAGUCAAAUCAUCAUUGUUUAAAUCGUGCUUCUCUGGAUGUCCCGCAAUGCUCUGUGACGACCUCAGCACUCUGUAGGAGCUUCAGUCAUUAAGAAAGCAGCAAACUCAAGGCACCUCUCCACCCGAAAUUGACCUCUCUUCUGGCUACUCAACAUUUGUCUAUUAUGGAAGCGAACUCUUGAUGCUGCUGCGACAGACUCCAGGAUCAAGGACACGCGAGACUCCAGGAUCAAGGACACGCGAGACUCCAGGAUCAAGGACACGCGAGACUCCAGGAUCAAGGACACUCUAGACUCCAGGAUCAAGGACACGCGAGACUCCAGCACACGCGAUGCCUCCCUGCCUCUACUAGUGUCAGGGAGAAUAUGGAACUUCCUCUCUUCAAUAUUGAUGACACCUGGCAGGAGGUGGAAGAGGCGUCAUAGGAGCCAUGUGGACACCCUACUCUCUUGGUUAUUAUUUGAAGUGAUGUGCCCGUGAUUACCCCAGACCCUCCCUGGCGCCCUGUGACGAAUGGAGAGGCUGAAGGAGCAGAAAAGUAUAAGAAAAUUAAGUGGAGAGAAACCUGGAUCCCAGUCACUUCUCUGAGGAACGAGAUUGAUUUUAUAACAGAUGAGGGUGUCGCCGGGCUGGAACCGGAGCUCUUCAUCGGCGAAGCGCAGGCCACACUCCUUCCCUCGCGCUAUGCUCUCCACCUCAUCCUUCAGGUGCCGCAUGGAGGACAGCUCACCUGUAAUAACGACUUGUGUCACUGGCGAAGUACAGCCAGAUAGGACAGCAGCAAUCCUGGCAGUGAUCAACUGUUUAUGGAUGCCAAAAGUGUUCGUCGCUGAGUGCCAGGGGUCAAACUCAGGCCCUCCAAGUAGAAGUCAAUGCACACUAUAGGACUGUGUUAAUGGUGUGGGACCCAAGUGUCUGGCAAAUUACUGCUAAAGCCUCUGGCAUGGUGACCUUAAGCUCACAGGUGGCUCAAAUGCUGGGCUGCCUUGACUUCGAUAACUGGCACUCAGCGGUCCACAUUUCAAGAUUAUUUACAGCAUUAUUAUGUUAGUUUACAUAUAAAUGGUUCAUACAAAUUUACAAAUG